rnacentral:lncRNA from 1 species
CGCACACGAAAAGCAGGGAAGAGCAAUUCAAGAAUUCAUAAUAUCCGACGGUAUUUACACAAAAUAAAAUAAUAAAAGUACAUAAACCAAUGAAAUUAUAGUAACGAGUCGACUACCGAGAGAGGAGGAUUAAGAAGGAAAGACCUGAUAAUUUGGCCACUGAAACGGCUCCCCCGCCUUAACUUCUCCUGCCCGUGCUUUGACCGCGGGAUCUACAAAAGGAUCUGAAAUUUAGAUUUAAACCAAAGAACAAGAAAAAAAAACACAAAGAACUAAAAUUUCUCCGAUAACGAUAUCAAGCAAAUGCAUCGAAGGGAAGAAGAAAGAGAAAGAGGGGUCCCGGCAAACCCGUUACAAAGGAGGAAUUCGGAAUCCAAAAGAAACGAGGAGGAACCCAAACCCCAACAAAAUCCGAGGGGCCAAACUAAUUAAAAACCUCACGCCACCCGUAGAAAGGGAGAUCCCGACGGAAAACCUAACCCUAAUACAAAAACUUUAGAACAGGAAUUAGAAAGAAAAGAACGUACUCGGCCGCGGACGUUUGGAUCGGACAUGCGAGAAAGAGAGGGCAACGAUCUGGGAUAAAGGCGAUGCAAGUUU